UGACUUGUUCAAGUUGAUAUGAAUGGACGGAGUUGGAACUGGCUUGGUUCCUCCUCCACUGAACUUUCUACUAAACCAUCUGCCACAGAAAGGAGCAGCGCCUGCCCUUUAAUAUGCAGGAACAGACACAUGGCCUCACCUAACCGCAAGAGAAACUGGGAAAUGUAGUCUAACUGUGUGUCCUGGAAGACAAAGAAUUGGGUUUGAUGAUCAGCCAGCAGCAACUGCUUAAAUCUCUCCAGGAUUCCACAUGGAGCCAUUGGAGAGCACCAGCUGGAGAAUCAGAGUGGGUUUGGAACAAUGUUAACGUUCUA